CCUACGGGAGGCAGCAGUGGGGGAUAUUGCACAAUGGGGGAAACCCUGAUGCAGCGACGCCGCGUGAGUGAAGAAGGAUUUCGGUUUGUAAAGUUCUAUCAGCAGGGAAGAAAAAAGACGGUACCAGACUAAGAAGCCCCGGCGAACUACGGGCCGGAAGCGGGGGUAAAACGUAGGGCGGAAGCGUUAUCCGGAUUUACUGGGUGUAAAGGGGGCGUAGACGGGUAUACAAGUGGGAGGUGAAAUACCCGGGCUCAACCUGGGAACUGCUUUGGAAACUGUAUGCCUAGAGUGCGGGAGAGGUAAGCGGAAUUCCUUGUGUAGCGGUGAAAUGCGUAGAUAUUAGGAAGAACACCAAUGGCGAAGGCAGCUUACUGGA
rnacentral:rRNA from 1 species